AGUGAACGCUGGCGGUAGGCCUAACCCAUGCAAGUCGAACGGCAGCACAGGAGAGCUUGCUCUCUGGGUGGCGAGUGGCGGACGGGUGAGGAAUACAUCGGAAUCUACUCUGUCGUGGGGGAUAACGUAGGGAAACUUACGCUAAUACCGCAUACGACCUACGGGUGAAAGCAGGGGACCUUCGGGCCUUGCGCGAUUGAAUGAGCCGAUGUCGGAUUAGCUAGUUGGCGGGGUAAAGGCCCACCAAGGCGACGAUCCGUAGCUGGUCUGAGAGGAUGAUCAGCCACACUGGAACUGAGACACGGUCCAGACUCCUACGGGAGGCAGCAGUGGGGAAUAUUGGACAAUGGGCGCAAGCCUGAUUCAGCCAUACCGCGUGGGUGAAGAAGGCCUUCGGGUUGUAAAGCCCUUUUGUUGGGAAAGAAAUCCAGCUGGCUAAUACCCGGUUGGGAUGACGGUACCCAAAGAAUAAGCACCGGCUAACUUCGUGCCAGCCGCCGCGGUAA
rnacentral:rRNA from 1 species